rnacentral:rRNA from 1 species
ACGGGAGGCAGCAGUAAGGAAUAUUGGUCAAUGGACGCAAGUCUGAACCAGCCAUGCCGCGUGGAGGAUGAAGGUCCUCUGGAUUGUAAACUUCUUUUAUUUGGGAAGAAAUCUAUCUUUUCUUGGAUAGUUGACGGUACCAGAUGAAUAAGCACCGGCUAACUCCGUGCCAGCAGCCGCGGUAAUACGGAGGGUGCAAGCGUUAUCCGGAUUCACUGGGUUUAAAGGGUGCGUAGGUGGGCAGGUAAGUCAGUGGUGAAAUCUCCGGGCUUAACCCGGAAACUGCCAUUGAUACUAUCUUUCUUGAAUACCCUGGAGGUGAGCGGAAUAUGUCAUGUAGCGGUGAAAUGCUUAGAUAUGACAUAGAACACCCAUUGCGAAGGCAGCUCACUACGGGAAUAUUGACACUGAGGCACGAAAGCGUGGGGAUCAAACAGGAUUAGAUACCCUGGUA